GCGUAGAUAGCGGCGGGGGUACACCCGUUCCCAUUCCGAACACGGAAGUUAAGCCCGCUUGCGUCGACAAUACUCGGAUGGUGACGUCCCGGGAAGA
rnacentral:rRNA from 1 species